rnacentral:rRNA from 1 species
GACUACCUAUGGCGAAGGCACUUGACUAGAACGGAUUCGACAAUCAGGGACGAAGGCUAGGGGAGCAAACCGGAUUAGAUACCCGAGUAGUCCUAGCAGUAAACUCUGUGAACUAGGUGUUGUGCAUACCACGGGUAUGUGCAGUAUCGAAGCGAAGGCGAUAAGUUCACCGCCUGGGAAGUACUGUCGCAAGACUGAAACUUAAAGGAAUUGGCGGGGGAGCACUACAACGGGUGCGGCGUGCGGUUUAAUCCAAUUUAACACGGAAAAUCUCACCAGAGGCGCCGGCAGGAUGACAGUCAGGCUAAAGGCCUUACUUGACGAGCCGAGAGGUAGUGCAUGGCCGUCGUCAGCUCGUGCCGUAAGGUGUCCUGUUAAGUCAGGUAACGAGCGAGACCUGCGUCUACAAUUGACAGCGACAAAUUUUUUUGGAUCGGUCACAUUGUAGGGACUGCCCGUGAAAACGGGAGGAAGGUGCAGGCAACGGUAGGUCUGUAUGCUCCGAAUCCUCUGGGCUACACGCGCGCAACAAUGAAUAUGACAAUGGGAUACUACUCCGAAAGGAGACGUUAAUCCUCUAAACAUAUUCCAAGUACAAAUUGAGGGUUGUAACUCACCCUCAUGAAGCUGGAAUCCGUAGUAAUCAGAGUUCAUCA